UCCUGAUGGCUUAGAUGGUAAAGAGUCUGCCUGCAAUGCAGGAGACCCAGGUUCAAUACCUGGGUCAGGAA
rnacentral:tRNA from 1 species